rnacentral:rRNA from 1 species
AGCCACCUUCGGGUGGUGGACAGUGGCAGACGGGUGAGUAACGCGUGGGAACGUGCCUUUCGGUUCGGGAUAACCCAGGGAAACGUGGGCUAAUACCGGAUACGCCCUCCGGGGGAAAGAUUCAUCGCCGAAAGAUCGGCCCGCGUCGGAUUAGCUAGUUGGUAGGGUAAUGGCCUACCAAGGCGACGAUCCGUAGCUGGUCUGAGAGGAUGACCAGCCACACUGGGACUGAGACACGGCCCAGACUCCUACGGGAGGCAGCAGUGGGGAAUAUUGGACAAUGGGCGAAAGCCUGAUCCAGCCAUGCCGCGUGGGUGAAGAAGGCCUUAGGG